rnacentral:rRNA from 1 species
UUUCCGUAGGUGAACCUGCGGAAGGAUCAUUACCGAACUCGUCUUGGGAUCUUGGACGCAUUUUUAGAACAAGCCAUGCGGAUUGGUUGGUUGCUCUGCGGGUGGGUGCUGCUCUCUUCGGGGGGCGCGCAUGCAUCCGCUUGGUCUCCUAGUCUUUCUUUCAUUCCUGCCUCACAAGGAUCAUCGGCGUGGCGGCUCUUCUUCGGAGGGGUUGUUGGCGCCGGGCUUCUUGUACUCAGGCAUCGAAACCCCGUGAAACAACAAUCAAUCGUUAUGCGAUGUCGGGCGAGAGGCGUCUCGCCGAGCUCUUCGUGAGCUCGAAACAAAGCGCUACCCACAAACCACACCAAACUCUGAAUCUGAACUCAAAAGGAGGCGCAGCGCCUCGCGCGCCGCGCCCCCUCAACCUUUAACGUUGUAAAACUUUCAGCGACGGAUGUCUUGGCUCCCACAACGAUGAAGAACGCAGCGAAAUGCGAUACGUCUUGCGACUUGCAGAAUCCAGUGAAUCAUCGAAACUUUGAACGCAUCUUGCGCUUCCGGGAUAUGCCUGGGAGCAUGCUUGUCGGAGUGUCUGUUGACACAUCUCGCCCCCCCCGUCUUUUGUCAAAGAAAGGCGAGAAGGGCGGACUCUGCGUGUUCCGGAGCGCGAGCUCCGAGUGCACCGAAUCUCUUGAACGCGAGACCUCUAGCGCCUUGAUUGCACAGAGUUGUUGACGGCGUGUCUGCUUCGGCGGCACGACUCUCUACUCGCUACGUGCCUUUUAGCGAUGGUAGUGGUCGCAGUAGUUCCGGUCGCGCGCCACCUGGGUGGCGCAAAACCCCAACUUUCGUUCGGACCUCCGAUCAAGCAAGAGGACCCGCUGAAUUUAAG